rnacentral:rRNA from 1 species
CGUAUAUUAAAGUUGUUGCAGUUAAAAAGCUCGUAGUUGGAUUUGUGGAUGGUCUUGAGGUCCACGUUUUGCGUUGGUACUAUUGAGAUUGUCCAUCCUUGGGUGGAAUCUGUGUGGCAUUAGGUUGUCGUGCAGAGGAUGCCCAUCGUUUACUGUGAAAAAAUUAGAGUGUUCAAAGCAGGCUUAUGCCUCUGAAUAUAUUAGCAUGGAAUAAUGAGAUAGGACUUGGGUGCUAUUUUGUUGGUUUGCGCACCUUGGUAAUGAUUAAUAGGGACAGUUGGGGG